rnacentral:rRNA from 1 species
AUUGAACGCUGGCGGCAGGCCUAACACAUGCAAGUCGAGCGGAUGAGGGGUGCUUGCACUCUGAUUCAGCGGCGGACGGGUGAGUAAUGCCUAGGAAUCUGCCCGAUAGUGGGGGACAACGUUUCGAAAGGAACGCUAAUACCGCAUACGUCCUACGAGAGAAAGUGGGGGAUCUUCGGACCUCACGCUAUCGGAUGAGCCUAGGUCGGAUUAGCUAGUUGGUGAGGUAAUGGCUCACCAAGGCGACGAUCCGUAACUGGUCUGAGAGGGUGUACGGCCACACUGGGACUGAGAUACGGCCCAGACUCCUACGGGAGGCAGCAGCUAAGAA